UUUAGGAUCAUCUUUAUUUAAUGGGUUGCUCAAGUUCGUACGGUAGGGAACUGCUUUAACAUUUUGAAUAAACUUGUAGUUCCAUCUAUGUAGUUGAAGCCACUAAACAAAUUCUAAUCUCUCACCAAGUAUAAGUUUCAUCAACUUUGCACUCAUAUCCUUAUUUAAUAGUAACUGAACCUGCAAAAUCCAUGUCCUUAUAUCAAAUGCAUUAUUUAUCGAUGACUUCAUUGAACCUUGAGUAAGUCGCUAGGAGACGCUGUUGUUCGCGAUUUACUUUGCUGCAUUUGUUGGAUGGAGGAUUUAGAGCGGACCGAGAGGGUACGAACUGCUGCCGAUCCGAUUGAAUCCGGUCCGGUCUUUGCUUACCGGUCUUCGCAGUGCCGGCUACUGGGGUUUGCAUGUGAUAUCUCUGCACCGGAGCGCAGGUAGCUCGCUGCACUUUACACUGAUCUCAGCUCGUCCAUGGUGCAAGGAACAAUAUCUUGUUUAAAGAUCGUGAGACUGUUCUUUACCGUUACACGUCCUUUCUACUAUUAAUGAGACUCUGUCCACCAACACCAGCUUAGGAAUUAAGGAUUCUGCGAAUGUGAAGUUGCUGUGUGAUUUCUCUUCAAUAAUGGUGAACGUGGAUAGCCUGGCUGUUGUUUUUACCACAGAAUCUUGGUUAUUAUAUGUUGGCAACAUUUUGAGAGUCAGUCUAAUCUGGAUUUCAUUUGAUGGUUUCAUUUAUUUUUACAUGUACUCCUCAUUUCUUAAUGUAGUAGGAAAGGGAUGCAUAUGGUGGCAUCAAUUUACCAGGUGUUCUUCUGUAGUUGCUGCUAGACAAGUGCUUUCUAUUUUCCUGUAUAAAUGCUUACCCAGAUAUUAUUGUGAUAAUAGGUUUGCAAAUAAGCCUGAUCAUCCAAGUAGUGUACUCCUGUUGUUAAAAAUAAAAUCCCAUUUAAAUUGAAGGCAGCCUGUUUUGAAUACUGAGAUAAAGCAGAAAAUGCUGGAAAUAUUCAGUAGGUCUGUUAUCUUUUGUGGAGAGAAACGCAAGUCUUCAGAACUAAAGAUAUAAGAAAUUAUAUUUUAAGACAGUAUAAGAGGACAAGGUGUAGGAAGAACAAAAGAUCUGUAAUAGUGAGAGUGGCAGGGCAGGUUAAGUGACUAAAGGUCUCCUGGUAUAAAAGCCGACAAGAGUGCUAUUAGGUAUUGUAAAGUGACGAAAGAUGUGUGUGGAUGAGGUGUGAAUGGAUAGCUGUCUGAAAGUGAAGAAAUAAAAAAGGAAAUUAAACAAGACUGCACUAGCAUAAAAAAGAGCAAGAUGGAGACGGAGUUUAUGACUUGAAAUUGAUGAAGUCUGUGCU